ensembl:lncRNA
CGAGUCUUUCCUGACCCUCAGAGCGAAGGUCGUCCCAGCCGUGCGACCCCGCGAGGCGGACCGGCGAGCGCCACCCGGCCCGGACGGGUGCUGGCGGCUGUUGACGGGGACAGGCGACACCCGACUCAGUCAUCCUCCUCCUGCAGCCAUCCGCUCUUUCAGAGUUCCUGGCUCCUCUGCGCGCAGGAAGCAAGUCUGAGCAGCAGGCCCUUACCAGCUUGGCCCUGUGAGCUGUGAAUGCAGCAAGGACAAAGUAAGCAUUGUUUUCAGGAGGGAAGCAGGUGGGCUUCCAACGGUGACCUUUCAGAUUCCUUGAUCGCAGUGGCCUUAUCUUCCUACACAGAGCCCUGGGCCAGAUAAGGGGAGAGUUAGGAACGAGGAAACAAAGGCAUCUGACUCCUCUUGCUCUCUUUAUGCCUGCCUUUGUUGGCAUGCACAAGAAAAUCUCUAGUUAGGAAAAUCAUAGUCAAAGAAAAAAUGUGAGAAUACAACAGAAGAUUAUGUUCUUAUAUGAUGAAAUACAUCAACCACAUAGAGAUUUUUAUGUCAAGCUUGUAUACCUAUUUUAAUCUUGAGAAUAUUUCAUUUUUAUUUUUAGAAAUAAUGCAUUGUGGAAUCUUCAGACCAAGUUCCAUUCAGAAAAAUUAACUUAUUGGGACCUGUUCACAAACAUCUCACAUGCUAAGAAUCUCGCUAGGGGAAGUCUGUCACAAGGUUAUUUCACAUUUAACUCCUCUUAUUCGCCUUCCACUCUUUCCUUAUUUUGCACAUUUUACUGUAAUUUAUGUUUAUAUUUUCUGUCUAUUCUGUAAAAAUAGGUAAUAGCUGGUCAGGGCCUGUCAUUUCAUACAUAAAAUAUGCAUUCGUUCUUAGAUGGAAUUUAAACAGAACUGAAAGCCUAAUAUGAUUCUUUAGUAGUUAGACAGCUUCAAAAUAGAUGGUGGUUCAAUUGGUUGACCUAAUCAGUUUCAUCAUUAACACUGAGAUCUGAAGUAUAAAAUUUAGACGGUUAGAGGCAUCUACUUCCUGAAGGUUUCUCCCUUUUCCAUUCAAUCCAAUACUUGAGUUUUAAGCAUUUUCUGUGUGCAAAACAAUGUGAUGAGAUACAGUGAAAAUGAUUGCAGCUACAUUCAUUCCCUCAUGGAUCUAAUAAUAGAAAUUAGGGAAAAGUCUGGGCAAAGAGGAGAAAGUUGUGCUGGGAGGUGUUGGAAUUUGUAUGUUGCAGAGGUCACUGGGGCUGUGAGUUAGGCUUGGGCUGGAAGCAUUCUUCUGCGAAGCAUUCUGUGGAUGGUGGAGUGGACAUACUUUUUAUUCUUUCCACUAAGUAUAAGUAAACAUGGAGAAACUUAUGUAUAAUACAACCGCAAGAAGACUUUGGAAGGACAAGAGAAGACAGACUUCCUAUGGCCUCUGAGCCCUGAACACGGUACUAUGAUGGGUUCCCUGGGUUUUCUUUUUGUUUUACAUAUCACAGAGUUGAAGCAGAAGCCUGUAACCAGCAAACACCAAUGGGAACAGGCAAAAUAAAAGAGGACAAAAAGAACCGAAGCCAACUCUUUCUAGUCAAAGGAUCAGAACAGGGCAGCACAGUGGGCAGAAAGUUUUAAAUAGGAACUGCUCUAAUCCAGAGUUCCACAGACAGAGCUCUGGCUUUACUCUUGCUUAUAGUUUCAAAGCCUGGGGCUCUUGGACCUCCAUUCUGUGAGGCGGAAAAAGCAGCCCAACACUCCCUUCAGGAUGCUGUCAGGAGACCAACAGGGGAACUGGAACUUUCAUCCCCACUAGCCAAUAAUGGGUUUCCAGCUUUGUCCCCUGCAGAGUCCACGGAAAGCACAUGGAGUCAAACUUCCCAUCCCUGUUCAGUAAUACUGAGGAGCUCUCCUGCCGCAACCUUAGAAUUCAAUGAAUGCCAAGUGAGGAACCUGGAUUUUACCUCUACCCCAGAGUGAUGAGGCAGGAUAACUCUCUUUCCCUGUGUCAGAGAAAGCCAACUAAAAGAAAAAGGGUUAAAUAAAACCCAAAGUCUCAUAACAUGAUACAAAAAUGUCCGGUUUCAAUCAAAAUCAUACCAAGUACUACAAGGAUCUCAAAUUGAAUAAAAAGAAAAACCCAAUAGAUUCUAGUACCUUGAUGGUAGAAAUGUGAGAAUUAUCAGACAAAUACUGUAAAUUAGCCAUGGCAAAAAUACUUCAAGGGAUAGAUAUAAACACAUUUGAAAUAAUGACAGCAACAAUGUAGAGAGCUUCAGCGAUAAAAUACAGGAUUUAAAGGAAUCAAAUAGAAAUUUGGGACUAAAAGUACAGUAACAAAAAUUAAAAGCUCAAUUGAUGGGCUGAAUAGCAGAGUGGAGGGGAAGGAGAAAAGAAUUGUGAAUUGGAAUAGAACAAGCGAAAUGGUCUCAUCUGAACAACAGAGAGAAAUUAGACCAAUCAGCCAAGAAACAAAACAAAAUAAAACAGAGCAAAAAAAGUGUAAGCACACCUUUAGGGACUGGUAGCACUAUAACAGAAGAUCUAAGAAUAGUGUCAUUGGAGUUGCAGAAGAAGGAAGAUGGAUCAUGACAGAAAAACACAUGAAGAAUAAUAUCUGAAAACUUCAAUUAAUUUAAAAUAAUUGAAUUCAUACCCAGUGUAUUCUCUGACCAUAGUAGAAUCAAACUAAAGAUGCAUAACAGAAACACUUCAAGAACUUAGCAAAAGAAGAGCAAAAUAAAGCCAAAGCCAAUGGAAAGAAGGCAAUAACAAGGAAAAGAGAAGAAACAAUUGAAAUUAAAAACAGAAAAAUGGUAGAGAAAAUCAAUGACACAAAGAGCUAAGUCUUGGAAAAAAUGAAAAAAAUUGACCAGCUUUUAGCAAGACUGACAAAGAAAACAGGGAAAAGAUAUAAAUUGCCAAAAUUAAGAAUAGAACAGGGGAUAUCAUUAUAGACUUUGUAGAUAUCAAAGGAUAAAAGGAAAUAUAUAUAAUACACAUAAGUUCA